UACGGAGGUGGCUAGCGUUGUUCGGAAUUACUGGGCGUAAAGGGCGCGUAGGCGGCAUGGCAAGUCAGGUGUGAAAGCCCCGGGCUAAACCCGGGAACUGCAUCUGAAACUGCUUUGCUUGAGUCCUGGAGGGGGUAGUGGAAUUCCCAGUGUAGCGGUGAAAUGCGUAGAUAUUGGGAGGAACACCGGUGGCGAAGGCGGCUACCUGGACAGUGACUGACGCUGAGGCGCGAGAGCUAGGGGAGCGAACGGG
rnacentral:rRNA from 1 species